rnacentral:rRNA from 1 species
GACGAACGCUGGCGGCGUGCUUAACACAUGCAAGUCGAACGGAAAGGCCUCUUUCGGGGGGUACUCGAGUGGCGAACGGGUGAGUAACACGUGAGUAACCUGCCCUCGACUUUGGGAUAACUUCAGGAAACUGGGGCUAAUACCGCAUAGGAGCUCCUGCUGCAUGGUGGGGGUUGGAAAGUUUCGGCGGUUGGGGAUGGACUCGCGGCUUAUCAGCUUGUUGGUGGGGUAGUGGCUUACCAAGGCUUUGACGGGUAGCCGGCCUGAGAGUGUGACCGGCCACAUUGGGGCUGGAGUACGACCCAGGCUCCUAAGGGAGGCAGCAGUGGGGAAUAUUGCACAAUGGGUGGAAGCCUGAUGCAGCAACGCCGUGUGCGGGAUGACGGCCUUCGGGUUGUAAACCGCUUUCGCUCAUGACGAAGCUUUGUGUGACGGUAGUAGGUAAAGAAGCACCGGCUAACUACGUG